rnacentral:lncRNA from 1 species
UUAAAAUAAUCAAUAGUGAAAAAACUAAGCUAUCAAAUUAAUCGGCGAUAAAUGAAACAUAAAUGUGAUUUGAUCCAACGAAAAAAAAAAAAUUUAAAAUCGGUUAUAGAAAAACUUAAUUUUGUGUAUGGUAAACUCUGCUCUAAUAUUAUUAUGAUACAAAAUAGAUAAAUGUGUCAAAUAUAAAUGCUCUAAGAGUAUCUCCAGUAGUAUAGGUAAGUUUGUUGCUAAAUUUAACAAUAGUUAGGAUAUUUAACAAUUGAAAUAGCAAUUGUGCUUCAGCAGUAAUUGCUAAGUGUAAGUCUUGCCACCUAGAGGCUACUAAUUGGCGAGUUUGAACCCAGUUUAUUUUGGUCCUCAAAACUUCAUCUCCUCUAAGCCUUUCCCUUUCUCUGUAAAUCGCCUUCAGAAACCCCGAUCAAGUGUUCUUUCUUCAUACCAUACCCAUUAUCAUUUUUACCAGUUUUUUCGUUUCAAACUUAAUCGCCUCCUUUCCUUUACCUCUCUCUGAAAUUAGCGUUCUUGACAUGAACGAUCGAAACAAACUUUACCCAUCGAUCUUUCACCUUUCUACCUUUACAAUCCUAAAGAUUCAUUCUUUCUUAAAGAACAAGAAUGUGCGACUACUUCUCCGGACCUGGUGUGGCUGACAUCGUCAAGAGCAUCAUUUGUAGGUGGCCAUUGAAGCACAUACAAAAGCUACAGUUGGUAAACAGAGAUUGUCAGAGAAUAAUUGCAUCAUCCGAUUUCGGCAACCAGAUUCUGGGCAAAGACGCCAUUUUUAUUGUAAGCCAAGAUGGGGUUUUUUGGUUAUUUAUGUACAAUCCUUGUUGCAGAAUGGAGAUAGGAGGAUUUAUACUAAGAGAAUGUUGCCUAAAAUCAAACUUCCACUACAUCUCAGUAUUAUUGGGUCCUGUUAUGGUCUAAUAUGUGUGAAUGAUAUUAACAAUGGUCUUUUUUUUCUUAACCCGAGAAACAUGAAGUAUACGAGUGUUGUUGGAUCAUCUGUUGUAUUCAAAGCUUAUGGGUUAGGGUGGAAGUACGGUGGUUAUUUGAUAUCAAUUCGUUACUUGUGGUUCUUGAUAUUAUAUCCGCUCAUGUUCAAAAGUUAAGGAUGCUGAAUCUGAAAACUAAUGAAUGGAGCCACCAGACCAUUAAUUAUGAAAAGUUUGAUUGGAAAUUGGAGUCGAUUUCAAGAGACGAAGGGGUGAUUGAAGUUAAAAUAAUCACUGGUGAAAAAACUCAUCUAUCAAAUUAAUCGGCGAUAAAUGAAACAUAAAUGUGAUUUGAUCCACGAAAAAUAAAUAAAUUAAACUCUGCUCUAAUAUUAUUGUGAUACAAAAUAGAUAAAUGUACCAAACAUAAAUGCUCUAAAGUCUUGCCACUCGAGGCUACUUAUUGACGAGUUUGAACUCAGUUUAUUUUGCCCCUCAAAGCUUCAUCUCCUCCAAGCCUUUCCCUUUCUCUGUAAAUCACCUUUAGAAACCCCGAUCAAGUGUUCUUUCUUCAUACCAUACCCAUUAUCAUUUUUACCAGUUUUUUUGUUUCAAACUUAAUCGCCUCCUUUCCUUUACCUCUCUCUGAAAUUAACGUUCUUGACAUGAACGAUUGAAACAAACUUUACCCAUCAAUCUCUCACCUUUCUACCUUUACAAUCCUAAAGAUUCAUUCUUUCUUAAAGAACAAGAAUGUGAGACUACUUCUCCCGACCUGGUGUGGCUGACAUCGUCAAGAGCAUCAUUCGUAGGUGGUCAUUGAAGCACAUACAAAAGCUGCAGCUGGUAAACAGAGACUGACAGAGAAUAAUUACAUCAUCUGAUUUCGGCAACCAGAUUCUGGGCAAAGACACCAUUUUUCUGGUAAGCUAAGAUGGUUUUUUGUUGUUGUUGUUGUUCAUGUACGAUCUCUAUUGCGGAAUGGAGAUAGGAUGAUUUAUACUCAGAGAAUGUUGCCUAAAAUCAAACUCCCACAUCUUAGUAAUAUUAGGUCUUGUGAUGGUUUAAUAUGUGAGAAUGAUAUUAACAAUGGUCUUUUUUUUCGUAUUAGAACACAUGAAGUAUACGAGUGUCGUUGGAUCUUCUGUUGUAUUCAAAGCUUAUGGGUUAGGGUGGAAGUAAGGUGGUUAUUUGAGAUCAAUUUAUUUCCAUAUACUUACGGUUCUUGAUAUUAUAUCUGCUCACGUUCAAAAGUUGAGGAUGUUGAAUUUGAAAACUAAUGAGUGGAGCCACCAGACCAUUGAUUAUGAAAAGUAUGACUGCUCACGUGCCAUUUUGUUUAAGUUUUGAUUUUAUUUAUUUUUUAUGUUUUUCUUUAAUAAUUUAUACUUGUGCAUAUUAUUUAAAGCUAAAUGCUUAUCUAAACGUGAAAAAAAGAGGACACGCGUCUGCGACCCAUGCCUUUGAUACCUCUUCCUACAGUUCCUCCUCCCUCUUCGUUCUUCCUACUUCCUACUUCCUAUACUGAACCAAAUUUCAAUGUCGGAAGAACCUCCUCCUAAGAUUGUUCUCAAUCGAGGUUGAAGACUUGAAGAGCAGUAGAAUUUCGACAGGUAAGCUUUGGAUACAAAAUUGUUAUGCUUGUAU